rnacentral:rRNA from 1 species
AUGAAUUACCGAUGCAAGUCGAAGAAGGAUUGGCCGGUGCUGCCGGCCGGCGUCAUGUUCGAUCCCACGGAUCAGGAGCUGAUCGAGCACCUUGAGGCCAAAGUGAGUGCUGACAGCGCGAGAUUUCAGUCUCUCAUCGAUUUGUUCAUACCAACCAUCGACAGCGAGCACGGUAUAUGCUACACCCAACCCGAGAAACUUCCAGGUAUCACACUGAGUGGCCUAAGGAAGCAUUUCUUCCAGAGCAAUUCCAAGGCGUUCAAAAGGGGCACGUGGACGCGUCGCAAGAUACAGUCGGAGUGCGGCAUGCACGCAAUGUGGCACAAGACCGGCAAUACCUUGCCGGUGAUGGUCAACGGCCGGUCGAGCAAGUUUCAACUGGGCUGUAGACUGCCCAGGGUUGGUUUUGUUUUUACCAGUCCCAGCCCAUGA